rfam:Novosphingobium sp. ST904 contig_9, whole genome shotgun sequence.
GUUGCGGGCCGGGCCCCUCUGGCGCGGCGUCGGUCGUGGUUUCAUCCACGCGGGCGCCUCGUGAUGUCGGACCGCAUCG